GUGCCGUCCCGUGCUGCGCGCCGCGACUAGAGCUGCAGCCUUGCGGGCCCGGGAGGGAGGGUGUCGGGACCCCGCGCCGGGCUGCCCUCCAGCUCUGGGGAGGACUCGGCCGGAGGCGGGGUCACGGGGCAGAGCCGGGAGCUCGAGGGGAGCGGGCGCCGGACCCCGGCCUGGACCCCCGACCCGGCCCUAACGCCGACUCCGACCCCGCAUCGCAACCCCGGCCCGGCCUGGUCUUGGCGGCAGUGAGGCCGCAGGCCUGUCCGCGUGCCCGCGGUCGGUGCGGCGAGUGACCGUAACAGUGAGCGGUCCUGCCGAGAGCGCCCCGGUGCCCGGCUCCGUCCGAACACUCAUGUCAUAUUCACUCUGCGAAGUAAACGUCUUUAAAAACUGCGUUACCGGCGACGAAACAGACUCGGGAAAGGGAGACUCGCCUGUCCAAAGUCGCGGCUAAGGAGCGAGGACCGCGUUUCAGGGCCGGUCUGACUGGUUCCCGGCCCGCGCCCCCGCCAUGCGCUGCUGCAACAGUCACCUGGUGACGCUGCAGCCCUCCCCGCCCUCCCCUGAAACCAGAGAGGGCUGGGGACACUUUUUAAACGAAGUGUCCUGAUUACUGGUCCUCAGCUCUCGGGCAGCGGUGCCUUUGUGAGGUCCUUAUUUGUGGAUGGUUCGUGGAGGGAGCAGCCCUAAGCCGGGGCCAGGCGAACUACACGGCUGAACUGCCUUGUCGUCCUGCAGUCUUCCUUCACAGUCAGUUCGUCCUCCCCAGCUCCUCCUCCAGGAUUUUUUCUGUCGCUGGUUAGAUUGUCCCGCCCACUUUCUGCCUUCCGGCUGGCUGUGUCCUGCCCUCACUCUCCCCAGACCGGUCCCGUGACUGUGACUGUAGGCAAACUUCCCUGUGGUUUCUUGCACCCUCUAGAAGCUUGUGCAACACCACCCUGACAGGAAGGGACCAGGCCCCUCGCCCUCACCCCUGUUCCCUCAUCACUCUGCUCAGAGGGUUUGUGACUCAAAGCCUCUAGCACACUUGCAUGUUUUGGAGAAGAGUACAAGAUGCAAUCCUCUAACUAUUGUUUGAGAUAAAAUUGUUAUUGUGGUCGAACCUCUUUGCCCGGCCAUUCAGUUGGAAACAGUGCAGGGUGAAUGACAAGCCUCUGGGGAAGGAACCCUGGCUUCUGUCCUUCUCAGCCUAUGACCUUGAGCAAGUCAUGACCUUCUCCCAGCCUCAACUUUCUCAUCAGCAAAAUGGGGAUAACAAUUAUCUGCAAAAUGAGGCUAAUGUCAGCUUUGGCUUUCCCAUAGGGUUGUUGUAAAGAUAAAAUGCAAUAAAAGUAUGUGAGAGCAACUUGUCAACUGGGAAGCCAGCCCUUCAUAUCUGUGAGUUAUUCCUAGGAUGUUGUGGGAAAUGAGGUUUUGGGAAAACAGACUAUUGAUCCAUUUAUUGAAACUCAUUUAUUUAACAAGUGUGCUUUGAAGGCUGGCUGUGUUCCAGGCCUCAGGUGAGAGGUGAGCUUGAAUGAACCCACCCUGCUCCAGUUCCCCUCUGCAGUGGCCCAGAGGGAGGCUCCUGUGCUCUUGGCAAUAGGGGUUAGUUUAAGGAAUCAGAUGCCCCAUGACCUGGCCCCUAGAAGGGAUGGUCUGUAGGACAACUGGCUCCCCAGGCCUCCCUUGGCUCUCAGGCCCCACUUCAGAGGCAUCAUCUCCUGCCAGGAUGUCAGCUUCACUUUCAGCCAUUUCUGUCACCUGCUCUCUCUGUUCUUUCUGUACUUCCUAACUUCUGUUUACUCAUUUGUACUUCCUCCACUCUCUGAACUCUGCACGUCAGGACAUUUCAGCGGGGCUUCCCUUAACUGACUCAGAGACAAUCUCACAGUGAACUCCUGGUUUGAGUCAGGGUGUGUCCUAGGUGUCUGCACUGCCACCAGUCAGGGUGUGUCCUUGGUGUCUGCACUGACACUAGGUGCCAAGAUCCAUGAGCAAAGUGAAGCCUCAGGAGGUAUGGAAGGGCUGCCCUUUUAGCCUGGGUCGUGGGAAGGGGACAGGAGCAGAGGGCGUCUGUCCCUUGAACUCCUCCCUUUGUUCCUGAGCACGGAGGAGGCGUUGGCUCUUGUUCCUGCUCACUGUCAGCCGAGGGGCUUCAGGCCAGCUGCUCUUGGAAAGUCCAUCAGUCACCCCGUCUGUAAAACAGGAAUAGUACUUUAGCAGUCUGGAGACAAGUUGGUCUUUUGGGCCAUUUUUUAUUUUAAGAUCUAGGCUUUUUUAUUUAUAUCAGAGCAAAUAAUUAUUUGCUUCUUCCAAAAUUAGGCAACUUUGCAGCAACUAAACAUAAAAUUUUUGUUUAAAAGCAUAAUUGCUUCCACGCUUCCCUGGCCUUUGAAGCCUUUGGACCUAGUCUAUAGAUAUUUGGGUAAUAUUAGGAUGUCUUCUAUAAAAUAUACUCCUUUGUGGAAUGUUUGAAUAAACUCGUUCAUCU
rnacentral:lncRNA from 1 species